UACGUAGGGGGCAAGCGUUGUCCGGAAUCAUUGGGCGUAAAGAGCGCGUAGGCGGCCCUGUAAGUCCGCUGUGAAAGUCAAGGGCUCAACCCUUGAAUGCCGGUGGAUACUGCAGGGCUAGAGUCCGGAAGAGGCGAGUGGAAUUCCUGGUGUAGCGGUGAAAUGCGCAGAUAUCGGGAAGGAACACCGGUGGCGAAGGCGGUUCUCUGGGCCUGUACUGACGCUGAGGAGCGAAAGCGUGGGGAGCGAACAGG
rnacentral:rRNA from 1 species